AUACUGUAUGAUUGGGUUUGACCUGAAAGAUGGUAUUAUUUCUUUAAAAGGGUAACUACCGUUGUUUUCAACCUGGACCCUAUUUUCCUAUGUUUUUGUGUGUAAGUGACUGAUAGGAACAACAAUCUUUGAAAUUGGUCCAGUAUUAAGUGUGAACGCUGUAAACGGCAGCCACAGACCGUGCUGCAAUGUAACCCUAUGCGGCAAAUGUGUUGUCAAUUUGGUCCACUAAAAGUUCUGUUUUUGCCGUUG